GAGAGAGAGAGAGAGAGAGAGAGAGAGACGGAGCCGGGGAGAGAGAGAGAGUGAGAGUGAGAGAGAGAGAGAGAGAGACGUGUGUGUAUCUGGUAUGUGUGUGUGAGUGUCUGUGUGCUGAUCAAGGGAGUCAUUGAUUUUAGGUUCAGAUUGCAGAUGGGAACAGGUAACACGAUACAGUACUAUCGAAAUACAAUAUGGACUUUAACAGUCUGGAAAGGUUUGAUGAAACGUUGAUGUCAAAAAACAAACAACAAUUUAAGAGAGCGAGAGAACCAGAAAUGUGACAGCUCAGUCGUGUGGCAGGAUUCAAGCAGAAAGACAGGCACCCAGGCCGGGCAGAAGCAGUGGGAGACGCCGCUGUAGACCACCGGAACGGAGAACCUGUCGCCUUAGAUCAACUUACGAAGCGCGAAGAUUGAAGACAGAAGAGAGUCUGGUCACAUUGUCUUCUCCCUCUCCUCCUUCUCCCAAGUCCUUUCCUCCAGUCCUCCUUCUCCCAAGUCCUUUCCUCCAGUCCUCCUUCUCCCAAGUCCUUUCCUCCAGUCCUCCUUCUCCCAAGUCCUUUCCUCCAGUCCUCCUUCUCCCAAGUCCUUUCCUCCAGUCCUCCUUCUCCCAAGUCCUUUCCUCCAGUCCUCCUUCUCCCAAGUCCUUUCCUCCAGUCCUCCUUCUCCCAAGUCCUUUCCUCCAGUCCUCCUUCUCCCAAGUCCUUUCCUCCAGUCCUCCUUCUCCCAAGUNNNNNNNNNNUGAUGUACGAAGGGCUAUAUAAAUACAUUUGAUUUGAUUUGAUUUGACAUACGCACAAUUAAAGUCAUAGGCAGUAUUUCCAAUAUGUUCAAUAAGGCAGUAAAUGUACAGUGAAUAUAUAGUAAAAUAUACCGUAAAUGUACAACCGACCAUCAACACUAGAAGGCAGCAAAGAGCCACAUGAUGUUAAAACAUUAUCGCCAAUCAUUUCCAAUCUGGUGUGUGCUUGUGUGUGAGUUUCUGUGUGACCUAGGUAUCCUAUUUUCAGAUCUUUGUCAACUCCUUACCUCCUUAGCUCCUUACCUCUGUCUCGGGAAACAAGAAAGACCUAAAAGGCUAAAAGAAAGAGAGAGAGAACCAACCUCCUUUUUGUCUUAUUGUCACAGCUGACUAUACUACCAUGUCCCAGCUCCACUAUGUCCAUGUUUCCACGUUAUUAAGGGCCUGUCAGAGGUGCUACCAUGUCCCAAAUCCACUAGGUCCACGUUGUCAGGGGCAACCACUGGAAGAAAGGAACUAGCAUACCAGUAUCCACGGUGUGUAUCCUACAGUAUAUCUACCAUUGGCGCCAGGGACAGAGAGAGACGGAGAAGGGGAGAGAGAGAGAGAGACACAGACAGANNNNNNNNNNUCCUUUCCUCCAGUCCUCCUUCUCCCAAGUCCUUUCCUCCAGUCCUCCUUCUCCCAAGUCCUUUCCUCCAGUCCUCCUUCUCCCAAGUCAUUCAGUCCUCCUUCUCCCAAGUCAUUCAGUCCCCCUUCUCCCAAGUCCUUUCCUCCAGUCCUCCUUCUCCCAAGUCAUUCAGUCUUCCCUCUCCCAAGUCCUUCAGUCCUCCUUCUCCCAAGUCCUUU
rnacentral:lncRNA from 13 species